rnacentral:miRNA from 1 species
UGACGUGUCUUCUAUUUUUAGGAA